rnacentral:rRNA from 1 species
UACGUAGGGGGCAAGCGUUGUCCGGAUUUAUUGGGCGUAAAGAGCGUGUAGGCGGCCAAACAGGUCAGCUGUGAAAACUCGAGGCUCAACCUCGAGACGUCGGUUGAAACCGUUUGGCUAGAGUCCGGAAGAGGAGAGUGGAAUUCCCGGUGUAGCGGUGAAAUGCGCAGAUAUCAGGAGGAACACCGGUGGCGAAGGCGGGUCUCUGGGCCGAUAUUGACGCUGAGGAGCGAAAGCGUGGGGAGCGAACAGG